rnacentral:rRNA from 1 species
UACGAAGGGGGCUAGCGUUGCUCGGAAUGACUGGGCGUAAAGGGCGCGUAGGCGGCCACCGCAAGUCGACUGUGAAAUCUCCGGGCUUAACCCGGAAAGGUCAGCCGAUACUGCGGGGCUAGAGUGCAGAAGGGGCAACUGGAAUUCUCGGUGUAGCGGUGAAAUGCGUAGAUAUCGAGAGGAACACCUGCGGCGAAGGCGGGUGCUGGGCUGACACUGACGCUGAUGUGCGAAAGCUAGGGGAGCGAACGGGAUUGAGAUACC